GUAAAGAGACUUGAAAAGUGUAGCGUAGAUGGGAGUGGCAACACGUCAAUGAAACACCAUUAUUUUCAUUGUUUCUUUACUUACUUGGUUAUACAGAGAUUGGAUUUUACAUCCAGUGUUUGAGUGACAAACGUCGAUACUUGUAUCAACG
rnacentral:rRNA from 1 species